rnacentral:rRNA from 1 species
UACGGAGGGUGCGAGCGUUGUCCGGAAUCACUGGGCGUAAAGGGCGCGUAGGCGGCAGGCCAAGCGUGCGGUGAAAGUCCGGGGCUCAACCCCGGAUCUGCCGUGCGGACUGGUUUGCUAGAGCACUGUAGAGGCGAGUGGAAUUCCGGGUGUAGCGGUGGAAUGCGUAGAGAUCCGGAAGAACACCGGUGGCGAAGGCGGCUCGCUGGGCAGUGGCUGACGCUGAGGCGCGAACAGCGUGGGGAGCAAACAGG